rnacentral:rRNA from 1 species
UACGUAGGUGACAAGCGUUGUCCGGAUUUACUGGGCGUAAAGAGCGCGCAGGCGGUCGAUCAAGUCGAGUGUGAAAGCCCCCGGCUCAACUGGGGAGGGUCAUUCGAUACUGAUCGACUCGAAGGCAGGAGAGGGUAGUGGAAUUCCCGGUGUAGUGGUGAAAUGCGUAGAUAUCGGAAGGAACAUCAGUGGCGAAAGCGACUUCCUGGACCAAUACUGACGCUCAUGUGCGAAAGCGUGGGGAGCAAACAGG